UACGUAGGGUGCGAGCGUUAAUCGGAAUUACUGGGCGUAAAGCGUGCGCAGGCGGUUUUGCAAGACAGAUGUGAAAUCCCCGGGCUCAACCUGGGAACUGCAUUUGUGACUGCAUGGCUGGAGUGCGGCAGAGGGGGAUGGAAUUCCGCGUGUAGCAGUGAAAUGCGUAGAUAUGCGGAGGAACACCGAUGGCGAAGGCAAUCCCCUGGGCCUGCACUGACGCUCAUGCACGAAAGCGUGGGGAGCAAACAGG
rnacentral:rRNA from 1 species